ACCUUUUGUUUAUUUUUUUUAGACUCUAUUUCUACUCUGAUCUUUAUUAUUUCCUUUCUUUGAUAGCAUUUCUAGCAUUUGUCACUACAUGUUUGUUCUAGGUUUUUGGUGCAUGCCUUUUAUCAGGUUAAUGAAUCUUGCUGUUAUAUACAUUUGCCUGUUUUGCUAGAAUUUUUUUUUAAUAAAAAGGAGGUUUAAAAUUUGUCAAAUGCAAUUUCUGUGUAUAUUGAGACAAUGUGUAUGUGCUUUUUGUUUGUGAACAUACUGGAUUAGAUUAACUAGGUUUUCUACCGUUAAACUAAGUUUGUGUGCCUCAGAUAACUUGAUAUAUAACCUUGCCUAUGGUUUGGUGCUCCUCCAAGCCUGAGCCCCUUUUAUUGUUAAUGUCCUGUCCCUUUGAUUUGUCUGUGUCCUCCUCACUCUCCUUCAAGCUGCUCUGCUUCAACUAGGUAAAUCUCAUGGCGCCACCUGGUGGCACCCAUUGGAAAUUUCUGACUUGCUAUUGCCAUCUCUCUUUUCUCUUGGAGAAAUAGUUUUCCUGAUUAUCACUGUUACCCCUCAUUUUGUUUUCUUUCUUGUACAGUACAUUUAUCCACUUAACUCCCUCAUUCUCCUUUCUCUUGAUCUUCAUCAGAUUAUUCACUUUUCCUUCCUUUGCUCUUUCUCCCUUUGUUCCUUUAUGAGUACUACCUCUGCUGAGGUUGAUCAUGGUGGCAGUAGUGUUGGUGACAAAAGAAGAAAUACAGUAAUAAAUUUUUAAAUGACAUUUGACAUGAUAAAGUGACAGCUCUGGUAACCUUCCAAGUCUUUGAAAAUACUUCAAGUUCCCUUUAAAAUGUUCUUAAAUUUGAAGUUCUACUUAGUCAUCUAAUUAAUUCUGUACAGUUUAAAGUUCAAGCCAAAGUAUCAAAGAAAAAUUAUAAUAGUAUUAAUAAGUUUCAUUGUUUCCAUCUUCCUUUAUUACUAGCAUUGACAAAUUUGAAGUUUCUACUGUAUAUUACUUCAAAGACUCCGUUUUCCAUUGUCUGUUAAACUGCCUGGAAACUGAACUGUCAUCUACAACAUGGUUUUCAGGGGCAACAGCCCACCAGAAAUGCCCUUUUGGUACAUAACUGAUUUGCACAGAUUGCCAGUAACUGACUUUCUGAUGUUUGACUCAUGAGCACAGGAAUGCUGUAAGCACUGUUCUCCCCACUGAAAGAACUCACAUGUGGAUAAGCUUGGCCAGUGUGGCAGUUUCUUUGUAGAGUUCAUUGUGACUGGUUUUGGGGUCUGUAAGAGCCACAUCUGAGAAUGGCAGGUGAGUCAGCUGAAGGCAGACCAGAGAAACUGGGGUUGAAAUCGAUCUCUAACCAUUGCACUGCCAACAGGGCUGCAGCAGAGGAGGUUUCUAUUGUUUGUCUGUCUUAACCCACACCAGUCUUUUUGUGAAUAGGUAUAGUAUACUGAAAAUGUGCUUAUUCAAGGAUAGCAAUUGUUGAUUUCAAAACAGGCCACCCCAGAAUAUUUUGGGUCUGUAAAGUUAGUUGGUGCCUACAAGACAUUUUAACGGUGCCUAAAUGAAUCUAGAGAUAACCUUGAAUAAAAUAUAAACCCUGUCUUACACAUUAUUCCAAUAGUUUCAAAGCUUUGAUGUGUAUGGCUUUGAGAUCCAUUAUUGUGAAACUGAAUAGUUUGUGUAGAGUUGGCUACACUAUUAGAAUUCUAACAUCUGUUUAAGAGGGAGAUUUAGAGUAUUUUUAUUUUCACGUAAUCAUGGAGAUUCAAAAGUAGAUUGAAAAAGAAGUUCAAGAUUAUGACAGAGAUGACUGUGGUGGUUUGGUUACCAGGGGCCCUGCAUGACCCAGGGUGAUGUGUGGUCCCCUCAGCACUUGGUGUCCUUCUGUGUCCUUUUGCUAGAUGCUUUCUAACCUCUUGAUGUUUCUUUUAAAAGGUGGGGACCCAAACUGUAUGCAUUUUUCCAGAUGCGUUCUUGCCAAAACAGCAUAAAGCAAAUGUAACAGUUAGGAAGAAGCUUCCCUCCCUUACUAGGUCCCUGGCAUCUGACAUAUGGCGAGCUUUAGGAUAAGGACCUACUAGGAUACACUUGAUGUUCUGAAUGUGAAUAUCCAUCCCCCAAAGUCCAGAACCCCAGCUGGAACCAGAUGGACACUUGUUCUCAAAACCAGGGCUCUUGCCGAUGGUUCUCUCCGCAUCUUUUUACUGUUGGUCUUCCCUUUCUUGCUCUCUUGUCUCUCCCACCCCCAACCCCCUUGAUUGCUGUUCCUAGGGACGCACCUCGGGAAUACGGGACAGGACUUGGGCAUUCUGUAUUGCACCCUGCGGUCCCAAGCCAGUGUCUGCUGCUUGCCAUCCUCAAGGCAACAUCCCUGACAUGCUGGAAGGCAUCAGCUUCCCAGAGCCCACUUUUAGUCUGCAUGACCAGCUUGCAAGGAGGGAUAUAUGGAGACAGUUUCCAAGAAUUUUCCACUUUUUAAAAAAAAAUGUAUGUGACUUAUUUUUGGCUCUGAACUGAGAGCUAACUCAGUGGUGUACAGCUCUGUUUACUGGCUCACAUCUGUGGAAUCUGGAGACAUUGAUGCAACAUUCCUUUUCCUGUCUGGGCUGUUUGUAUAAUUGUAUAUAAAUGUAGCAAUAAAUAUAUUCUAACAUCA